rnacentral:rRNA from 1 species
UACGUAGGUGGCAAGCGUUGUCCGGAUUUAUUGGGUUUAAAGGGUGCGUAGGCGGCUUAUUAAGUCAGUGGUGAAAUACUCUAGCUCAACUAGAGGGGUGCCAUUGAUACUGAUGAGCUUGAGUACAGAUGAGGUAGGCGGAAUUGACGGUGUAGCGGUGAAAUGCUUAGAUAUCGUCAAGAACACCUAUAGCGAAGGCAGCUUACUAGGCUGUAACUGACGCUGAGGCACGAAAGCGUGGGGAGCGAACCGG